GUUAUUAGCCUCAUUUUAUGGUCAUUCUCUAAAUUUUCACAAGUACUUGCUCUUAUGUCAUGAACUCUUAAAAAGGGAGUGAAUUGAAUGUGGUUUUGGGUGACAUACAGAUACUAUAUUCAAACUUUUAUCCAAAUGGAUCGAUGAAACUGUACGAGUUCAUAGCAAUAGUAACAGGGGCAAUGAUUAUUCUGUCUCAGCUUCCAACCUUCCACUCUCUUAGACAUGUCAAUCUGGCCUCUCUGCUUCUCAGCUUGGGCUACGCCUUUCUUGUGGUUACUGCUUGUAUCAUUGCAGCAACCAGAAAAGAAGCUGGAUCAAGGGACUACAGCUUAGAAUCGUCACCAAAAUCAAGGAUGUUCAGCGCCUUCACAUCCAUCUCCAUUUUAGCAGCCAUUUUUGGGAACGGAAUCCUCCCUGAAAUCCAAGCAACUCUGGCAGCUCCGGCUAGUGGGAAGAUGGUGAAAGGGCUUUCCAUGUGUUACACCGUCAUAUUCCUAACCUUCUACGCCAUUGCUGUGUCUGGAUAUUGGGUGUUUGGGAACAGGGCUACCCCCAAUAUCUUGCAGAGCUUGAUGCCCGACACUGGGCCUUCUCUUGCGCCCACUUGGAUCUUGGGCCUCGCUGUUAUUUUUGUUCUUCUUCAACUCCUAGCCAUUGCCCUGGUUUAUUCACAAGUGGCAUAUGAGAUAAUGGAGAAGCAAUCAGCUGAUGUAAAGAAAGGGUUGUUUUCCAAAAGGAACCUUAUUCCAAGGAUCAUACUUCGGACAAUGUACAUGAUUAUGUGUGGAGUUUCUGCUGCAAUGCUUCCAUUCUUUGGAGACAUUAGUGCUGUAGUGGGUGCUAUUGGCUUCAUUCCUCUUGAUUUUGUUCUACCGAUGCUUCUCUACAACAUCACCCACAAGCCACCCAAAUCAUCCAUCACCUAUUGCACCAAUCUCGCCAUCAUCAUCGUCUUCACCGGAGUCGGGAUCAUGGGUGCUUUCUCUUCUAUAAGAAAACUCGUUCUUGAUGCCCAAAAAUUCAAGCUCUUCAGCAAUGAUGUCGUUGAUUGAUAUCGAGGUUAGUCAUUGUGAUUGGGUUGUUGUAUGUUAGAAAGAGUGAGAAUGUUGAAAUUACUCCCCAAUGAGAUGUAUGGUUAAAAUUUAGUGACAAAAAAUAUGUAUUUUUUUUAUUACAAUAUUGUUACAAAUAGUAUAAGAGCUAGAUACUAGAGCGUGUGUUAGUGAGGACAUUGGACCUCCAAGAAGGUAGAUGAGAUCCCACGUUAGUUUGAGAAGGGAAUGAAGCAUUUAUAAAAGUGUGAAAACCUCUCGUGAGCCUGACAAUUAUAUGUAAUCGGUCAAAGUAGACAGUAUCUAUUACCAGUAAGUUUGGGCUGUUAUAGCAAUAAGUUUGGGUUGUUCUA